rnacentral:rRNA from 1 species
GACGAACGCUGGCGGCAUGCCUAAUACAUGCAAGUCGUGCGCGGGAAGCAAACUGAAGUCUUCGGACGGACGUUUGUGGAACGAGCGGCGAAUGGGUGAGUAACACGUGGGUAACCUGCCUGUAAGAUUGGGAUAACUCCGGGAAACCGGUGCUAAUACCGAAUAAUGCUUUUCUUCACAUGAAGAGGAGAUGAAAGAUGGCUUCGGCUAUCACUUGCAGAUGGACCCGUGGCGCAUUAGCUAGUUGGUGAGAUAAAAGCUCACCAAGGCAACGAUGCGUAGCCGACCUGAGAGGGUGAUCGGCCACACUGGGACUGAGACACGGCCCAGACUCCUACGGGAGGUAGCAGUAGGGAAUCUUCCGCAAUGGACGCAAGUCUGACGGAGCAAUGCCGCGUGAGUGAUGAAGGUUUUCGGAUCGUAAAACUCUGUUGUUAGGGAAGAACAAGUACCGUUCAAAUAGGGCGGUACCUUGACGGUACCUAACCAGAAAGCCCCGGCUAACUACGUGCCAGCAGCCGCGGUAAUACGUGGGGGGCAAGCGUUGUCCGGAAUUAUUGGGCGUAAAGCGCGCGCAGGCGGUCCUUUAGUCUGAUGUGAAAUCCCACGGCUUAACCGUGGAGGGUCAUUGGAAACUGAGGGACUUGAGUACAGAAGAGGAGAGUGGAAUUCCACGUGUAGUGGUGAAAUACGUAGAUAUGUGGAGGAACACCAGUGGCGAAGGCGACUCUCUGGUCUGUAACUGACGCUGAGGAGCGAAAGCAUGGGGAGCAAACAGGAUUAGAUACCCUGGUAGUCCAUGCCAUAAACGAUGAGUGCUAGGUGUCAAGGGGUUUCCGCCCCUUGGUGCUGCAGUUAACGCAUUAAGCACUCCGCCUGGGGAGUACGGCCGCAAGGCUGAAACUCAAAAGAAUUGACGGGGGCCCGCACAAGCGGUGGAGCAUGUGGUUUAAUUCGAAGCUACGCGAAGAACCUUACCAGGUCUUGACAUCCUCUGACAACCCUAGAGAUAGGGCCUUCCCUUCGGGGACAGAGUGACAGGUGGUGCAUGGUUGUCGUCAGCUCGUGUCGUGAGAUGUUGGGUUAAGUCCCGUAACGAGCGGAACCCUUGAUCUUAGUUGCCAUCAUUAAGUUGGGCACUCUAAGGUGACUGCCGGUGACAAAUCGGAGGAAGGUGGGGACGACGUCAAAUCAUCAUGCCCCUUAUGACCUGGGCUACACACGUGCUACAAUGGAUGGAACAAAGGGCAGCGAAACCGUGAGGUCAAGCGAAUCCCAUAAAACCAUUCCCAGUUCGGAUUGUAGGCUGCAAUUCGCCUACAUGAAGCAGGAAUCGCUAGUAAUCGCGGAUCAGCAUGCCGCGGUGAAUACGUUCCCGGGCCU